GCCUGGGUGGCUCAGUCGGUUGAGCGUCUGACUUCGGCUCAGGUCACGAUCAUGCAGUCCACGGUCUGUGGGUCCGAGCCCCGCGUCGGGCU
rnacentral:tRNA from 1 species